rnacentral:rRNA from 1 species
UAAUACAGGGGUCUCGAGCGUUAAUCGGAAUCACUGGGCUUAAAGGGAGCGUAGGCUGACCAGCAAGUGCUUUGUGAAAGCCCCCGGCUCAACCGGGGAACUGCGGGGCAUACUGCUGGUCUUGAGGCAUGUAGGGGCGGGCAGAACAGUAGGUGGAGCGGUGAAAUGCGUAGAUAUCUACUGGAAUGCCGAUGGUGAAGACGGCCCGCUGGGCAUGUCCUGACGCUCAGGCUCGAAAGCGUGGGGAGCAAACAGGAUUAGAUACCCUGGUAGUCCACGCCGUAAACGAUGUGCACUAGAUCGGAGUGGCUCUGACGCCGGUUCGGUCGAAGUAAAAACACUAAGUGCACCGCCUGGGGAGUACGGUCGCAAGGCUA